rnacentral:rRNA from 1 species
GACGAACGCUGGCGGCGUGCUUAACACAUGCAAGUCGAACGGAAAGGCCCUGCUUUUGUGGGGUGCUCGAGUGGCGAACGGGUGAGUAACACGUGAGUAACCUGCCCUUGACUUUGGGAUAACUUCAGGAAACUGGGGCUAAUACCGGAUAGGAGCUCCUGCUGCAUGGUGGGGGUUGGAAAGUUUCGGCGGUUGGGGAUGGACUCGCGGCUUAUCAGCUUGUUGGUGGGGUAGUGGCUUACCAAGGCUUUGACGGGUAGCCGGCCUGAGAGGGUGACCGGCCACAUUGGGACUGAGAUACGGCCCAGACUCCUACGGGAGGCAGCAGGGGGGAGUAUUGCACAAUGGGCGGAAGCCUGAUGAAGCAACGCCGCGUGCGGGAUGACGGCCCUCGGGUUGUAAACCGCUUUCGCCUGUGACGAAGCGUGAGUGACGGUAAUGGGUAAAGAAGCACCGGCUAACUACGU